UACGGAGGAUGCAAGCGUUAUCCGGAAUCACUGGGCGUAAAGGGCGCGUAGGCGGCUUUAUAAGUCGGGGGUGAAAGCCUGUGGCUCAACCACAGAAUUGCCUUCGAUACUGUAGAGCUUGAGACCGGAAGAGGUAAGUGGAACUGCGAGUGUAGAGGUGAAAUUCGUAGAUAUUCGCAAGAACACCAGUGGCGAAGGCGGCUUACUGGUCCGGUUCUGACGCUGAGGCGCGAAAGCGUGGGGAGCAAACAGG
rnacentral:rRNA from 1 species